GGAGAAGCCUGCCCCCUCCCUGAGCUGGUUCUAGCUUGCCAGGAGGCUUCUUCUGGAUUACAGACUUCUGGUGGUAGUCCCCAAGCACUGUUUGCCCUCUCCUGUGACACCAAGCAGACCAACAGAGGUGACUUCAUAAUGAUUCCUUAGUAACACACAGAUAUUAUAGAGAGCACUUUGCUUUCCUCACCCCCAUUUUGCAGGCCAGGAAUUGAAGAUGUGAAAAUGCCCAAUCAGCUAGUAAGUUUCAAAGGUGGAAUUUGAACCCAGAUCUCUCCAGGCUCUAAGUUUUGUACAUGCUUUUCACUAAGUCACAUUUUCUAUAGCAUUAAAGUUUGUGUUUUCCUAUCUAUUCUCAACAUCUCUCUUCUCCUAAAGGCAGAACAGCAGUAGAUGGAAGGAACUUCCUGGAGUGAAAGACAUUCUGGAUCCUGAGACUGGACAAAAUGACAGAGGGGGGUAACUGAAGAAAAACAAGGAAACAAAGCUGAGAGAUGAGAAAUACAACAGGACAACAAAGUUCCGGUGGCAUCAAGCCCUCAAGGGCUUCAGAACUCCUGGAGGAAGAGAGAAGAUAGAAAUGGAGCUGUAGGAAUGGAAGGAAGAGGAAAAACUCCAAGGUCAUUGGUACCAGAGCCAAUAAGGGGUGUCUUAUCUCUCACAAAGGACUGGAGACUCCUGCACAAGAGGGGCCUCAACUGCUUUUGUUUCACAACGUCCCCAUCCUUCCACAAAGACUCAAUGAUGGACUGACUAAAAAGCAUUCGGACCCAGGACACUUCUAUCUCUCCAGUACCCUCCUCCCAGAAGAGAGGAAGUAGACAAGGAGACCUUGUCUUCUGUUGGAGAGAAGGGCCUUUCCCAAUGUCAUUUCUUCCUUGGGCAGAAGGCCUUCAAGUGGUCUAAACCAUAUCUUCAUUUGGAAAAUGGGAUUUAUAAUAAUAAUGAUCAUUAAUAAUAAUACCUGCCCUGCCCACCUGACAAGGAUAUUGAGAUGUUCGUAGCAGCACUUUGGAAAAUAAA